rnacentral:sRNA from 1 species
UUUUCAAACCUUUUGACAUCGUGUCAGCAGUGGAAACGUCUUUGGGGGGCAAUUUUCUACCAAGCAAAUUGAAACGUUUACAGUGGAAGGCCUUCAAUGACUUGACUUCAGAAAGUAUUAGUUCACCAGACUACAGACCAAAUAUGUCUCCACCAUUUCUAGUUACACUUAGACCCAUGGAAAUUAGAACAUUCCAUGUACAGAUCAUUAGAAAUGACUAGAAGUGGGUCCACGUAUGUUUGGCAGGUGGUAGAUUCAUGGUUACUUCAAGUGUAUCUUUAUUACACAGAAUGUAUCAACAGAAUCACUUUCUAAAAUUACCAUAAUAUGUAAUUGUUGACAUUAUUGUUAUCCUUUUCUAUUUAUAGCUUUGUUUAUGAAAUUCCAUAAAUUAUUUAUACUUUUAUGUUAUUGAUUUAUAUUGGGAUCAGUCAUUAUAGAAAUAGGUGAAAUAAAAUAGGCUAGAGAGAAAGAAAGAUGGAAAGACAUCAACUAGAAAUAAGUUAGCCCUGCACCAGAUGAAUACAUAAAAAUAAGCCUUAUACUGUUUUCGAAUUAUUCGAAGCCUGUUAAAUAACUACCCAGUGAUGUGGUAUCUGUCUAGACUGUCAUCAUAAUGGUCCCGGCUUCCAACCUGCUUUCCGGGGUAACUUCCGGCUAGCGGCUAGGUUAUAAUAAUCUUCAUUUCUGAUAGAA